AUACGUAGGUGACAAGCGUUAUCCGGAUUUACUGGGCGUAAAGGGCGUGUAGGCGGUCUUGCAAGUCAGAAGUGAAAUUCCUGAGCUCAACUCGGGCGCUGCUUCUGAAACUGCAGGACUUGAGUGCUGGAGGGGAUAGCGGAAUUCCUAGUGGAGCGGUAAAAUGCGCAGAUAUUAGGAAGAACACCGGUGGCGAAGGCGGCUAGCUGGACAGUAACUGACGCUGAGGCGCGAAAGCGUGGGGAGCAAACAGGAGUAGAUACCCUGGUAGUCCGCGCCGUAAACGAUGAAUACUAGGUGUAGGGGGUAUCGACUCCCUCUGUGCCGCAGUUAACACAAUAAGUAUUCCGCCUGGGGAGUACGGCCGCAAGGUUGAAACUCAAAUGAAUUGACGGGG
rnacentral:rRNA from 1 species